UUUUUUUUUCAGACACACCGUGACGUAACACGUCCGUGCACACGGUCAGAGGUGUUUGAAAGAUAGACGAAAACAGGAAGCGCAAGGAUGGUGCUGAGAAGGCAAGAAUUAAAAACAGGAAAGCUCUGGAAACAGACGCAGCCAAAUGUGCAGAAAUUGGAAACUUUGUCACUAAAGCUCGCGGUUUGAAGCGACAAAUGAGGACGAGGAAACGGAUACGGACUUUGUUGAACUUUGCAAACCACCAUUCAAAGUCAGAAGAAAGAUCCAGCACCAAGCAGCAGCCAAGAGCCACAAGUCCAGAGUGGGAGCCUUGGUCUGGAUCAUUGGGAGCAUCUAGUCUGAUGGACUGAGAGCUACAGAGAACCUGAACAUCCAGCUGUGGUUGUCUGAAGUCUUUUCUCCAUCAUCACUAUGACGAAGAGCAGCACUGAUGUCCUCCUCAUCCUGCCCUGCCAGUAAUAACAUUAAUGCUGCAGAUUCAACUCCUCUCUUCAGAAUACAACUUGUCUUGUGACUGUUCAGUUUUUAUACAUCAAUGUCAGCAAUCCAUUGUUUAUUUCAUCCAUUUAUUACACGUGUUUACACAUCUUUGCAGCUCAGAAUUGUUAAAUAAUGCAGUUUUUAAAUAUGCAGUAAAGGAAAUAAUGAAGCUCUUGACCUGAAUGCUUUGAUGUUUUAACGCUGCAUAUCUGCUAUAAAUAACAGAGACUUUUUUAGAUUGUAUUUAUGCUACAACAGCAGAGAUUACCUUAAAGGUGAUAAAUGGAACCUUUGAAUACUAAGAACAGAGAAUAAUAAACAGCUGAAACAGUU